rnacentral:lncRNA from 1 species
UACUUAAAAUAAUUAAUUAUUGAUUUAAAAAUUAUAUCACAUUUCACUAUUUCAGGCGGCGAUACGGAUAUCGGGACAGCUUACCAACCGAGUUGAUUUGCGAACAUAGUUUUGUGAGUUGAAAAUUAUAAAUAUUUUUAAAGUAUUUAUAAAUUAAGUAUAUUAACAAAGUAUGUACAAUUAUGUGUUUGAAUAUAUGAUUAUUAUGGAAAUCUCUUUUAUUAUGAUGCAUGUGGAAUUUCAAAGAUUAUUUAUGACACAUUUGUGACUUGGUACAUAAGACAUAUGAUAUUGAGAUUUGUUUGAUAUGUGAGACAUGUAAUAUUGAGAUCGACCAGAAAUUAAAGUACCAAUGAUUAUAUACUUCUUCUAAUACACAGAGGGGCCUUGGUAGUGAUCUAUCCUACACAGGGGGAUCUUAACCUUAUAUGUAUAUUAACCGUGUACAUAUAACUCAUAGAGGGGCCUUGGCUGUGUUCUGGAAUUGAUUACUAGAGGUCUUGAGAUCGGCUUUUGUUCACGGAGGGGACCAAAGGCUGGUGGGGAAAGUUUUUAACCCGAGGGGCGAAUUACAAAUUUCAAUCAAAAGGCACAUUUUGGUGGAUUUUUCAAUAUAUUUGAUAUUAUGAGAUUAUAGCAUAGUUAUCAAUUGAUGUUUAUAGCUUGACUUUGAGAUGAUAUUUUGUAACGUUAUGUGAAUGUCUCACGUUUUGACUAUAAUUAUAUGAUGUUAUCUUGCAAAUUAUUCAAUGAUAUGAACUCGAUUUUCAAUAAAAAUAUUAAAUUGAAAAAGUAUAAUUAUUUUCAAAAUUCUCCACUUACUGAGCUAUCAACUCAUAUAUUUUCUCGUAAUUUUUCCUACAGGUAGCAAUUGAUUUUUUUUAGCUGAAAGAGCCUAAUGAUUUCAGAAUGAGAGCCACACAACAUGUUGAGUGUUAUCACUCAUAUUGAUGAAGCACGAAGUAAAUAAUUUGGACCCAUCUCACUAUAUUUUACAUAGCAUUUGACUUUAGCGCAUUUUUUGUAGUAAUUCAUAGUCAGCCUUGGUGAUAAAUUUGACAUCUAGUCGGUAUCUAUCACUGGCACACAUUACGUUUUGGAUCCACAUGAGUGAUUCGGGAUGGGUCGUGUCAUAUUUAAUCAUCGAGGACCUCCACACAUUAAAAUCGAGAUAGAUCCCUCCAACACCUUUCUUCUACACCCCCAGUUUUUU